rnacentral:rRNA from 1 species
UUGAGCAUUAUCAGUUGGAAUUGUCAGGGGCUUGGGAACCCCGAGGCAGUUCGAGCGCUUCACAAGGUGGUGAAGCAAGAAGGGCCCGCCCUACUCUUUGUUAUGGAGACGAAGAUCAGGGCAGCAAGGGUGGAAAACUUAGAGCUUAAUUUGGGUUUUGAUGGUUGUUUUGCGGUCGAUAGUGUUGUUCUCAGUGGAGGCUUUGGUUUGUUCUGGUCAAAGGAUGUUUCAGUUGAGCUAAAAAACUACAGUACUUGCCACAUUGAUGUUGUGGUGCGGAAGAGGGAUCAAAGCUCUUUCGAGUGGAGAUUCACGGGGUUCUAUGGUGCGCCAAGGCUCAAAGGCCGCCACCACAGUUGGCUCUUUCUCCGAACCUUGAACGCGAUACCUCAUGAUGCAUGGGUAUGCAUGGGGGAUUUUAACGAGACCUUAUAUGGGAAAGAACAUUUUAGUCGCUCAGCGCGUCCUGAGUGGCAGAUGAGGGCGUUCUGUGAGGUCAUCGAAGAGUGUGCUCUCCUAGUCCUGGGGUGGUCAGGCGUCCCUUUUACCUAG